GAGUAUUUCACAUUUUCCUUGAAGAAGGUAUUUACAAACAGUUGUUUUGAACGUAACUCAAACACACGCUGCGCAUUAGCAUCGCACUUUCUUUUACUCCUAAUAGAGGAUUUUGGUUCCUUUGGCAGAAAUGACAAAAUGCACACAUUUAGAAAGACGAGUUUAAGUGUCAGGGUAUUAUUUGGGGAUCAAAUCAAUUUACCGGGAAAACAGCAGUCAGACAAUACUGUCUUGCCGAUAUGUAAAUGUAAUGACUGGGUCGUGCAAGUGUUAGGAGAGUUGCGGUGGUUUGGCCUCCAGGAGGAUAGCCGGGGAAAGGCCUUUGUUAAGUUUUGGUGCAGUGAAUGAGUCACUGGAUUUAGAAUAAAAGUGAAUGAGGUGAAUAGAAGUCAACAUUUUCCCUACAUUUCCCCCGCAUCUCCGGACUUGAUUUUAAUCCCUUGAAACCUAGACGAGUCCUCACAUGGUAGAUGGAAAUCACUAGAGGGAAAACAAGAAAAAACAGACACAUGCGCUAAUGUUCAUAACGUACAGUCAAGGGCUAAGCAGGACUAGGAAAUUACAAAGUCAAAAUUACCGUCUCCCACCAGACGGACCAACAUACAGGGCAAAAAGAGCGCCCGCGUACGCCACAUGAUAAAUUCCACACCCAAACGCUUAUUUAGUUGUACUCCAAUAAAGAAAAAGUUUAAUCAAAUGCAACUCGCUAAAUAUAGUAACGCGUUGUGUAGAUAGCAUCUCGACGGCACACUUUAAUGAUUAUAUUUUUUAGUUAGACCCGGCGAGAACACGGACGCCAAUGAAAGACUGUUCAUUUCUAACUGACACCAGGAAAAACCCAUUUACCAAUCUGUUAUUGGCCUUGUUUAUAUGAAUGAUUUCCUUAUCUGCGGAAGAUUCACGCUUUUAAGAUAUUUAGAUAAACAUAUAUAAGCUAGGGAAUUCCUUCGAAUAGCUAAACAAAAUUAGCAAUCCUUCUUCUUAUUGUGUUUUGUCCUGUUCAAUGGGGUACAUCUAUCUGGAUUACAUGUUAUUCAAAGGCGUUAGGGAACAUACUGUACGUUUUGUAUUAUAGUAAAUGUCCUAUUAUUCUAAAUAAGGUUAACAUCCAUAUGGUCUCUAUUAAUUAUAUUUCUAUGCUUUCAGUUCAAAAUUCACACCCAUGCUGAGUUCGUUGUAAUAAUGGACAUUUAAUUAUUAUUCGGCAUUUGACUCACGAUUUUCGCGUGGCGAUAUUUAAGUCCCCCGCAACAGGUGUCAGGAAGACGAACUCACAGUUUGGGAGGGGCUUUGUCUGGUGGCAAACUUUGACAUUAAUUCACAAUAUCUCUGAUCGUCUAGGCUGUCUGAUUUCCUUUGUUAUUAAUUCGGUGAGUUAAAUUUACUAAUCGAACCGCAGAACGUGGACACGAUUCACCUGGGACUAGCGUUAGAGGCAAUGUGAAAUCUAUGUUUUUCACAUGGAAGGUAUCAAGUUAAAAUCAUAUGAUAAUUUUCACAAUCUGUAAUAUUCAUAAUAUAACUCAAGCCUUCUUUGUACGCUGAUGCAGUGUACCAAUCGAACCGAGAUAAAAACAUUAAAAAGGAAAACGGAGUGGAGCAUCUAUUUGUAUUUGCCCGUAAGCGUUCGUUAUGUUCCACAUUACAAAUCCGUUGCUUUAGCCACAAAGAGCAUAGCUUUAAAGGCCACGGUAAAGCGCGUUUUCAUAAUUUGUUAGAGAUGAUAGGGCCUCAAGGCGUUCAACGGAGCGGUUGGGCCGAAGGAUCGCGCAACAGAGUCCCAAAAAUAAAGCUUUGAUUGUUAUUAUGGCAAAUCCUGUUUUUUAUUGCGCACACGGGAAGAUUAUAGCCCAGCGUUCAGAAAUAUAUAAGACAUUUAAAAGGAGUAUCAGCAUAAUAACAAGUCGUAAAACACCACCGCGCGCGAUUACACGCGAACUGCAGCUCGUACGGCGAUAUUUAUAUGAACAUUAUGGUGCAAAAUGACGACCGAGUGAUCACGCCACCCGUACAUACCUAAUAGAUGUGCCUGGUAUCUUGGUUACCAAUGAGCUAAGGUUGCACCAGACAGGUUUUAUAACGUCUUAAAAAUAAAUCGAUCAAAAAAUCUCAUGUUCUUCUUUGGAUGGCAACAACCUUCCGAAAUCCCAUGACGUAUAAGAAUCAAAAAGACUCAACGAAAGAUAUAUGUUGUUCUAAAGUUUCUGAUCUAAAGACAUUAACGUUUAGGAUUCCAUUAGCUUAAAUUUAGACCCCAAAAUAUACAUUGAGUAUUCCUGUACUGGACAUAGACUCGAAUCACACGGAUUCCUGUCCGAGAAUCGUCGACAACCACUCCCUUAUUUACAAGAGAGCUUCAAAUACAUCCACGAAUUUAAUUACAUCAGUUACACACUUGGAUAAGCCGAUGGAUACUUUGUGUAAAUCGACAUUGUGCGUGAGCGUAAUAAAAGAUGUGUUCAUGUGUGAACUACUACCAUGGCGACCAAGACAGCGAGAAUUGAAGUUUUGAAUGGAGCGAUAUUCAAAGCGUGAAAGCUAUGUUCUGGGACCUAAUAAAGCAUUUCAUGCCAUGCUGA